rnacentral:piRNA from 1 species
UUGGAAGAUGAUAGGUGUUUCCCAGUGC